GGGCUCAAAUGUAUGUUGACGUAUUCUGAAAGGGAUACUUCUUCGGACAAUAUACAAGGUGCUGCAUGGUUGUCGUCAGCUCGUGCCGUGAGGUGUCGGGUUAAGUCCCAUAACGAGCGCAACCCUAUCAUUAGUUGCCAUCAGGUCAAGCUGGGGACUCUAAUGAAACUGCCUACGCAAGUAGUGAGGAAGGUGGGGAUGACGUCAAAUCAGCACGGCCCUUACGUCCAGGGCUACACACGUGCUACAAUGGCCGGUACAAAGGGCAGCUACCUGGUGACAGGGUGCUAAUCUCAAAAGCCGGUCUCAGUUCGGAUCGGAGUCUGCAACCCGACUCCGUGAAGUUGGAUUCGCUAGUAAUCGCGCAUCAGCCAUGGCGCGGUGAAUACGUUCCCGGGCCUU
rnacentral:rRNA from 1 species